UACGGAGGGUGCGAGCGUUGUCCGGAAUCAUUGGGCGUAAAGGGCGCGUAGGUGGCCCGGUCAGUUCGUGGUGAAAGCGCGGGGCUCAACCCUGCGUCGGCCAUGAAUACUGCCGCGGCUGGAGCACUGUAGAGGCAGGCGGAAUUCCGGGUGUAGCGGUGGAAUGCGUAGAGAUCCGGAAGAACACCAGUGGCGAAGGCGGCCAUCUGGACCGAUACUGACGCUGAGGCGCGAAAGCAUGGGGAGCGAACAGG
rnacentral:rRNA from 1 species